ensembl:lncRNA
UUUUUUUAAUAUUAUUUAUUUUUAUUUAAUUGCAUUAUAUUUACUUUCUAUUUAUGAAUUUAAUUGAAUAGCAUUCAAUUACAUUAUUUUAUUACAUUUACUUUUUAUUUUAUUUUAAUUUGAUCACAUUACAUUAUUUUAUGACGUUUAGCAUAGAUGUACUCUUAUUGGAAACCGCUGCUUCAGGAUGCCACACACAUUCAUAUCUCACUAUGAAAAAAUGAGCAGCAUUUAUUUCUGAUUAUUGAUUAUUGAUAAGCUUUAACUUCAUUUCACUUUAAGGCCCUGCAGCCAGGCACAUAUAAACACACAGACACACAGACACACACACACACACACACAAAGACUGACGGGCAGCUGGUUGGACACCCUGCAGGGCCUUUGCGAAGUGUGCGUCUGUGUGUUAGCGAGCGAGCAGAGACACGGGCAGCUGCCGCCACUCAGCUCUUUUGUCAGAGACCACUUCCCAGCAUGCACCACACAGCCACCCCAUUGUAUUCUGGGAGUGGAAGAUUUCACGCUCGGACCCGUCUGAGUCCAGCUGCAUCAGGACAGACGAACGUGUGCCGUGUUCCCUUUUAAUAACCCAUGGGUCCCCUCCUUCGCCCAGAACACCAGCGGGAGAAAUCGCUCGGGGCCCACACCGAGCAAAUUUCGCUGACUUUGUGGAAUUGACACUGGCGAGAAAUGGAUCUCUGUUCCCUGCCGGUUCCCAGGAGCUAGUCGCCAGUGUCACUCCCAACCCAGAGCCCAGCCCACCAUCUCCCUGACGGAGAACCAGAGCCCGCAGCGACCGACGAGCGAGGCCAUGACGUCAAUCCAGGUGUGUGAGCCGGCAACACCGCCUGCCACGAGGGAGAAAGCCAUGGACGGUGUGAGCGCGGAGAGGAGCUCCACCCCCUGCACAGCGGCUGAGGGUGAGCUGAGUAUGGUGUGGAAAAGGGCCAAAACGAGGAGGAGGAUCUCAUUGACUGGGAAUCUGAUUUAGAGAUUGAACUGCCCCCUCUCCUCUCUCCGUUGUCUCUGCUGGUCCUGUCCAACCCUUCUUCGUCCAUGGUUCCCUCAUUCAGCCCUGAAUGGGCUUCUGAUUCUCCACUGCCUGCUCCUAGAAUGUGUCCU